AAUGAACGCUGGCGGCAGGCCUAACACAUGCAAGUCGAACGGGUCCUUCGGGACUAGUGGCGGACGGGUGAGUAACGCGUGGGAACAUACCCAAAGGUACGGAAUAGCCUCGGGAAACUGGGAGUAAUACCGUAUGUGGUCGAGAGACGAAAGAUUUAUCGCCUUUGGAUUGGCCCGCGUUGGAUUAGGUAGUUGGUGGGGUAAUGGCCUACCAAGCCGACGAUCCCUAGCUGGUUUGAGAGGAUGAUCAGCCACACUGGGACUGAGACACGGCCUAGACUCCUACGGGAGGCAGCAGUGGGGAAUCUUAGACAAUGGGGGAAACCCUGAUCUAGCCAUGCCGCGUGAUCGAUGAAGGCCUUAGGGUUGUAAAGAUCUUUCAGAUGGGAAGAUAAUGACGGUACCAUCAGAAGAAGCCCCGGCUAACUCCGUGCCAGCCGCCGCCGUAAGAC
rnacentral:rRNA from 1 species